GACGUAGGGUGCGAGCGUUGUCUGGAUUUAUUGGGCGUAAAGAGCUCGUAGGCGGCUCGUCGCGUCGACCGUGAAAACCCGCGGCUUAACUGCGGGCUUGCGGUUGAUACGGGCGGGCUAGAGUUCGGUAGGGGAGACUGGAAUUCCUGGUGUAGCGGUGAAAUGCGCAGAUAUCAGGAGGAACACCGGUGGCGAAGGCGGGUCUCUGGGCCGAUACUGACGCUGAGGAGCGAAAGCGUGGGGAGCGAACAGG
rnacentral:rRNA from 1 species